AAUGAAAUAAGUACAAAUAAAUUUAGGAUGAAUUACAUCAAAACAUCCUAAUUUGACUUAUGAAGGUGUUGAAUUGUACAUUUUGAUAACCAUUUCGUACAUAAUAAGCCUGGAGUUGCUGUUUUCUCAACCCUUGUAGGUUAACUUUUGUGUUGCAACACAAAAACUGAUAAUUGCGGUUCAUGGCAUGAUGUGUGUGAUUCCAAAUAGGCAGGUCUAUUACUUCAACUGGUGGCAAGUGAUGCACCUGCAGUCCCGUUCCCAUUCAUGUUGCCUUCUCUGAGUUUGUGUUGUACCCUUCUUACCUCCCAGUCCCGUUGUAGCAUUCCGUUCAACGCUCGAACUAUAGCAUUAUGAUGUUGCCUCUUUCCAGCUAGUCGGUAGCUGCACUAUAGCUGUGUUAUCGACCUCCAAAACUACUCUUGGAAUGAAUUUAUUGUGAUUCAUAAUUUUCAUGUAUCUUGAUUCGUCAUUCUCAAGCAAUAAAUUUAUUGUGAUUCAUAA